rnacentral:rRNA from 1 species
GACGAACCACCCAAACGUUAUUCGGAAUUACUGGGCUUAAAGGGUGCGUAGGCUGUGCGGAAAGUUGGGUGUGAAAUCUCGGGGCUUAACUCCGAAACUGCAUUCGAUACUGCCGUGCUUGAGGACUGGAGAGGAGACUGGAAUUUACGGUGUAGCGGUGAAAUGCGUAGAGAUCGGGAGGAACACCUGUGGCGAAGGCGGCUCGCUGGGCCGGUCCUGACGCUGAGGCGCGAAAGCGUGGGGAGCAAACAGG